ACCCCUGGGCUGGUGGUCCUGAGUGGGAUGAGAAUGUGGCUUAUCAAGCCACACAGAAUAAGCCAGUAAGCAGUGCUCCUCCGUGGCCUCAGCUUCAGCCCCUGCUUUGAGUUCCUGCCCUGACUGAUUUGUCUUGAGUCACAUCUCUCCUCCAACGUUAGUAUGUGUGAUACUCUGUGACUAGACUGAAGAUCUAUGGAGAAAUUGUAUUUGGCAUUAGAAGGCAUGCUGGCUUGAGAAAAUGAUGGGCCAUGUCCAGGGUGAGCAUCCAGAGCUGAGGUACUGUAUGAGUUUACAUCUGUUCCACUCUUUGCCAGGUGGAUCUGGAAAAAUACUGUUCUGCCAACUUCCCCAAGCAAGUCGGGUUUAGUUAAAAGGGGUUAUUUUGUGUAUUUUGUUG
ensembl:lincRNA Gm43475 predicted gene 43475